UACGUAGGGUGCGAGCGUUGUCCGGAAUUAUUGGGCGUAAAGAGCUCGUAGGCGGCUUGUCGCGUCGGUUGUGAAAGCCCGGGGCUUAACCCCGGGUCUGCAGUCGAUACGGGCAGGCUAGAGUUCGGUAGGGGAGUCUGGAAUUCCUGGUGUAGCGGUGAAAUGCGCAGAUAUCAGGAGGAACACCGGUGGCGAAGGCGGAUCUCUGGGCCAUUACUGACGCUGAGGAGCGAAAGCGUGGGGAGCGAACAGG
rnacentral:rRNA from 1 species